rnacentral:rRNA from 1 species
GACGUUAGCGACAGAAGAAAGCACCGGCUAACUCCGUGCCAGCAGCCGCGGUAAUACGGAGGUGCGAGCGUUAAUCGGAAUUACUGGGCGUAAAGCGCAUGCAGGUGGUUUGUUAAGUCAGAUGUGAAAGACCCGGGGCGUCAACCUACGGAAUAGCAUUUAGUAAACUGGCAGACUAGAGUACUGUAGAGGGGGGUAGGAAUUUCAGGUGUAGCGGUGAAAAUGCGUAGAGAUCUGAAGGAAUACCGGUGGCGAAGGCGGCCCCCUGGACAGAUACUGACACUCAGAUGCGAAAGCGUGGGGAGCAAACAGGAUUAGAUACCCUGGUAG